rnacentral:snoRNA from 11 species
AGUUUCUUAAGUGAUGAACGAUUUGACGGAAGAGUUCUUGAAGACUAUAUUCAUCACCCAAGACUGACUUCAUA